rnacentral:tRNA from 1 species
UCUGUAGCUCAGUUGGUAGAGCAGGGGACUGAAAAUCCCCGUGUCGAUGGUUCGAUUCCGUCUCUGGG